AGCGAACGCUGGCGGCAGGCCUAACACAUGCAAGUCGAACGCGUGUAGCAAUACACGAGUGGCAGACGGGUGAGUAACACGUGGGAACGUGCCCUUCGGUUCGGAAUAACUCAGGGAAAC
rnacentral:rRNA from 1 species